GCAACCCAGGCAAUUUCCACCAAAGAGUCAAGGAACCCAAAAUAACUGUCUUUUAUUUCUUUACUUUCUUCUUCUUUUGUGUCCUGUUACUGACUCAGCCAGCUAACUAUGGAGGAGUCCCUCCCGCGUCCGCCGUCGCCGAUGACCAUUGACGGCGCCGACAUAGACACCUUGCUGUCAAACUCGUCCGUGUUGACUCGGCGUGAGGUUAUAGAGCGACGACUCCGCCGAGUCAGGCAACUCGCUCGGUGUUACAGGUCCCACUACUGGGCCCUAAUGGAAGAACUCAGGGCAAAGUACAGAGAGUAUUAUUGGACCUACGGCAGAAGCCCCUUCAAGGUGGAUGACCUUCGCCCAGAGGGCACCGUCGUUUCCCAUGAAAACGCAAACGGCACCACCGAAACUGUUAAUGUUGGAGACGACCUAGUUCGGUGCGCCUUCGGUGGGUGUAAGUCCAAGGCUAUGGCACUCACCAGGUUCUGUCACGCGCAUAUAUUGUCUGAUUCCAAACAGAGGCUUUAUCGGGGAUGCCACAUCGUUGCCAAAAAUUUGCCAACAGGGCCUUCAUUUUGUAACAAGCCAGUAUUGAGAUCCGUGGUUCCCUGUGCAUGCCCCACUCAUUACCAAUUAGGUGAAAAGUGUUUGCUUCGUGCAAUAAAAAGGGCAGGUUAUAAUAUCUCAACUAAUCGUAAGCCUAGUCCGAAGCUACAUGUAGUAGUUUCUGAAUUUGUCCGCCAAAUUCAAAAUAAAAGAAAAAUUGCACUGAAGGCAACUGUACCUAAACCCAUUGUAUUGAAAAAACAUGAGUAAGUUGUUGAUUAUUGAAUAGAUUACUGAUUUUCUAAAGACAUUGCGCUGUAUAUAGAGUGGGCAGAUUCUAUUAUCUGAGAAACAGGAUUAUGAUUCAGUGUUGGAAGCAUCAUCAAGUGUCAAUAAAAUUGUACUUACCAUAAAUUGUGAGUACUUUAGGAUUAUAUUGUGUUGAGUUCCAGAAUAUGACGAGUGUAUGUUCAGCCAUAGAUUGUGAGAUAUAUGAUCGAGGUGUGGUAAUUGGGGAAUCACUACAAUGGUCUGGUCCUAUUUGGAG